rnacentral:rRNA from 1 species
CGACGGGUAGCCGGCCUGAGAGGGUGACCGGCCACACUGGGACUGAGACACGGCCCAGACUCCUACGGGAGGCAGCAGUGGGGAAUAUUGCACAAUGGGCGCAAGCCUGAUGCAGCAACGCCGCGUGAGGGAUGACGGCCUUCGGGUUGUAAACCUCUUUUAGCAGGGAAGAAGCGAAAGUGACGGUACCUGCAGAAAAAGCGCCGGCUAACUACGUGCCAGCAGCCGCGGUAAUACGUAGGGCGCAAGCGUUAUCCGGAAUUAUUGGGCGUAAAGAGCUCGUAGGCGGUCUGUCGCGUCUGCUGUGAAAACCCGAGGCUCAACCUCGGGCCUGCAGUGGGUACGGGCAGACUAGAGUGCGGUAGGGGAGAUUGGAAUUCCUGGUGUAGCGGUGGAAUGCGCAGAUAUCAGGAGGAACACCGAUGGCGAAGGCAGAUCUCUGGGCCGUAACUGACGCUGAGGAGCGAAAGGGUGGGGAGCAAACAGGCUUAGAUACCCUGGUAGUCCACCCCGUAAACGUUGGGAACUAGUUGUGGGGUCCAUUCCACGGAUUCCGUGACGCAGCUAACGCAUUAAGUUCCCCGCCUGGGGAGUACGGCCGCAAGGCUAAAACUCAAAGGAAUUGACGGGGACCCGCACAAGCGGCGGAGCAUGCGGAUUAAUUCGAUGCAACGCGAAGAACCUUACCAAGGCUUGACAU